GUUUCUACUUUGGGGAUAUAAUUUGUUGAGUGUCUUAGAGUGAUUGAAUAUCAGGUAUUCAGAUUUUGUUUGGUUGAGUUAUGGACUGUUGCCGGUAGGUUUUCGUGGAGCAUCUUUAUUGAAAAGUGGAAACUUAUGUUCUUCACUUAUCCCUCUUCAUCGCAUAGCAUUGUGUAAAUAGUUCUCUCAGUUCACAAAGAAGGACUGCAAAAAUAUACCGAGUGUUGUUUUGAGUUGAUAUUUCCUUAAAGCGUUCCCCUCGCUUGAUUCGUCAAAAUAGCUUGCUAGAGACAUAAGAAACUCGAUUCAUUGCUUGUGAUUGAAUGAGCUCGUGACCACAUUUCAAUCUGGAAUUUUAUCUUCCGGUAAAUGCAGAACUCAGAGUGAGGUCCAAGGCUCAUAAAGCUGUUUACAAUCACACUCUCGCCAUGAUAUUGGUGGAGUAUGCAUCGGCCGUUUACAUGUCAGAUUUGACGGAACUUUUAAGUUGGACAUGUCCUAGAUGUGAUGGAAAGACCAAGGGAUUCGAAGUCAUUGAACUGAUAGUUGACGUUCAGCAUUGCUUACAGGCAUAUGUUGGAGUGGCCAAGGACCUUAAUGCUAUGGUUAUAGCUUUCAGAGGUACCCAAGAACAUAGGUAUGCAUGUUAGCUUUUGCAAUUCCUCCCCUUACAAUUGACAUGC